UCUGGGUAACAGACACAAUAAGGCUCACAGAAAUUCUUAGUACUUACCAGUGUAUGAGUCAACAAACCAGGAAUUAACGGUUCUUUUAAGAGCAACCACCAAGAAGUUCCUGAAUAACUCUGAAUUUUGUGCCCAGAGAAUUUGAGAGUUUGGAAGGAAUUCAGAGCAUUGCUGUUCCAUCCUGGUUCGACCGAGCACGAAAUUAAUAACAGCAAUGAAGUAAAAAGAGAUGAGACUCAAAGAUGAGUGAAUCAAACAAGCAGAUGAUCUAAGAGGAGCUGGCAGCGGGAGGAUUUGACCGAAGAUGCCAGAGGUCUGCAUACCAAAGAGGAGGGAAGCUGGGAACACCGAGCUUUGAGGAUGAGAGAACAUUAUUGGUAGAUUCACUGGGGUUACACAACAGGUUCAACUGCCUGCUGGUAACCAGGAGGAAAGCAUUCCAUGCAUAUUCAUGCCACAGAUCUGCCCUCGACCUUAAGCAUGAGUUUGCAUUGCAUGAAACAUACAACAUCACUCCAUGCUGGUCAUGUGCAACCAAGCCAGUGACAGUCAUUGGAUGUUUCCAGGAGAUCAGCCCAGCAACAUGCUAAUGGUGGACAAGUGCAUCAUUAGGACUGUCUCUUAGUUACCCCUGUUGAUGUCUAUCACUGUGUAACCUGAGUGUUGGGUACAGAUAUGAUUCACUGACCCCGGCUGGCGCAAAAAUGAUCUACUGCUUUUGUGAUGAGGUGAAAUGAGUUAUUUUCCUAAAUAUAAAUCAAAAAUGUCCACAGUUUUUGAGUCUGAGUUUCUAGAUUCCUUGUUUUUCCCUCUCACUGCUCUGCCAACACCUAAGAGAAGAACAGCGGAGCCUUAACAGACAAGUCAGUGCAUCAUCCUUUCACUAAACCAUGUUUGGAAUAUGAGUGUUUUUCGGUUUUCAACCUUUUCAGUGUCUACAAUAACUCAUGAUUUAUUACAUGUUCUAAAAGGGAAACAUCUGCCCCCGAAAAACAGGUGAGGGAACAAACAGUGCAAUGCUCAUUCUGCAGUGGAGGCAUCUGAAAACCAGGUUAAUGUGUAACCUGUGUUAAUGUCAGACAGAUGGGUAAAUUUUAAGUGCUGCUCAGAAAAUAUGAUAUCAGCCAGCAAUGCCUGUCUGCCUCUCUCUGCAAGCUGCAGGGUUGUGUGGGAGAUUCACAUGGCUUUUUUUUCAGUUAAAAUAUAUGUGCUGGUAUAGUUUCAAGAAUGCAAGAGAAACACAGAAAAAAGGGAGUGUCACUUCCAGAGCAGAUGUUAUGCUCUUUAUCAUUCACACUGCACUAAAGCUUUUGAUGUUGUAGUACUCAGAUUCCUACAUACAAACCAAAUUCCAUUGUGUUUUCAGUGUCCAACUUGUUUUGAGGAAACAGACAGCAAAGUAUAUACUUGAUUGAUCAAUAAAUGGUCUAUCAGCUUAUUAUGGUCCUAAAAGUAAGUAGAUGAGAAGAUUGGUAUCAUGUUUGUUUGGUAAAUAUCAGGCAACAGCCAGCAAGCUUUUAGUUUAGCUGAGCAUUUAAACUGGAAUCAGCUAAAUGUAUUAAUAAUCUGUACAAAAUUAAAUACAAUAUGUAGCAGGUGCCAGCGAGCAGCAGCCUGUUAGCUUAGCUUAGCUAAUAAAGACUGGAAAUGGGUUACCUUGGCUCAUUCUAAAGGCUAAUGGCAAAUUAUAAUUUUUACACUUGAGCUUUUCUAGGGAAUAAAAUGAGAUAGAAUAUGUAAUAAAUAUUAUUUAUUGGAAAAACAUGACAGUGGUAUCUUUUCAUCUAACUUGAGGUUCACUUCAACUCAAAAUACUUUUUAAAUUUUAGUGUUUAAUUUAUUACCAUCAUUAACACAAUAUUUCAGCAAACUGGGUCCAGCAUGGAAGUUAUUUUGCAGCGAUGUGAUGAAUCCACCGUUUCUGAAAGCCAAAGCAACAAUCAUGUCAGCAUGAUUUGCAUCUCAUGAUAAAAAUCUAAGUGAGGUUCAGAAGAUCGAGGGAAAUCUGAAAAGGGUGAAACCAUGGAUAACAGCACAGCACUUUGAGAAAUUGGAUAUCUCAGCAACCAAAAACCUCAAUGAAGCAAAACCUGACCAAAAAAAUUCAGCUUGUGCAGCAUGCAGGCUCUGGUCCAAUGUUGUGGAUUGGGAAGCAUGGCCCAUUAAGUUAUUGUUUAAUCUGCUGUUUAUGUCAAAUCUUUAACAGACGGAAUUUUAAAUCAAUUACAUUUCUAUCAGAUUACCAAAUAUUUAUUUUUGCAUCAGUGCUGUCUGGCAGUGAGGUAGCCUGACCUUGUGUGGCCUGACUUUUUGUUCUGUUCAUUCUGUCCAAACUGGUUCCUGCACACGCUGACAUAUAAACAAAGCAAUGACUCUAUUUUUCUGUCUCUGUGAAGUAACAGUAUCACUUUUAUUGUUGUGGUCACAAGAAUUAAAAGAAUUUUAAUCUGUUGCUCUGUUAUCUGCUGCCACUGUGCCUUUUCUGUAUGCAGCAGUUUGUAUUGUGCUAUAAACAAGCUUUUUAUGUACCCGUAAUAACCCUCUGCUCAGAAGCUGUCAUGUCUCUGAAUGAUAUGCACUCUGUUUACCUUGUGUCAACUAUUGCUCACAUUCCCACCAUUCAAGGUCAGCCCAUACACUGAGGUGGUAAAUCCAGUUUGAGGAGUGUGACCUGAAACCUGAUACUGUGUGCGACGUGCAGCAGGGAAGAGUUGAAUGGAAGAUCUCUUUAUUUACCACAGAGAUAUUUAUUGAGUUGGAUAUUAUAGGUAUGAUUUGAGAGGCCGUGUUGUGUUUGUAUUGUCUCUC